ACCAGAGAGGUAUUUCCAAAUUUGCUUGCUAUAAUAGCAAAAAAAAAAAACGCUAGAGAAAAAACAACAGUAAAUAACAUCAAAUUUUAACAAAUAACUAGAUUAUUACUAGCCCAUAAUAACCAUCAAAUUCUCAACCUAAACCAAAUUAUCUCUUUUAAACACACUAUAUUUUGUACCUUUUUCUACUUUUUCCUAAUGUAGCAAGCAACGACGACAACGACAAGAACACUAGCAGAAAUAGCUCCAAUAACAGGAGGUGAUUUCUAGCUUUGGGUCGUGAUUCACAAAGUGGCCCCCAUACUUAGGUAUUCAAGAUUUCGAAUAAACAGGUUGUGAGAGAUAACUUGCGGAAGAAGUUAUCAUGGGAUUGUGAUGAGAGUUUAUGUUUUCCUACUUCCGUAUUUUAUAAACUCUAUUUUAUUUUAUAGUCGUGACUAAACCAAUGAUUUAAUUAUGAGUUAAUGGAUUUCAAUUUGUUUUGGGCCGUAACGGUUUCGACUUUGUAGUCACACCAUUAACUAUUUAUUAUGAU